rnacentral:rRNA from 1 species
AUUGAACGCUGGCGGCAGGCCUAACACAUGCAAGUCGAGCGAGCGGCGGACGGGUGAGUAAUGUAUGGGAACCUGCCUGAUGGCGGGGGAUAACUACUGGAAACGGUAGCUAAUACCGCAUACCAUCAGAUGUGCCCAGAUGGGAGUAGCUAGUAGGUGGGGUAACGGCUCACCUAGGCGAUGAUCCCUAGCUGGGCUGAGAGGAUGACCAGCCACACUGGAACUGAGACACGGUCAAGACGCCUACGGGAGGCAGCAGUGGGGAAUAUUGCACAAUGGGCGCAAGCCUGAUGCAGCCAUGCCGCGUGUGUGAAGAAGGCCUUAGGGUUGUAAAGUACUUUCAGCCGGGAGGCGUUACCCGCAGAAGAAGCACCGGCUAACUCCGUGCCAGCAGCCGCGGUAAUUC